UACGGAGGGUGCGAGCGUUGUCCGGAAUCACUGGGCGUAAAGGGUGCGUAGGCGGCGCGGUAAGUCGGGUGUGAAAUCUCGGAGCUUAACUCCGAAACUGCAUUCGAUACUGCCGUGCUUGAGGACUGGAGAGGAGACUGGAAUUUACGGUGUAGCGGUGAAAUGCGUAGAUAUCGUAAGGAAGACCAGUGGCGAAGGCGGCUCACUGGGGAUUUUCUGACGCUGAGGAACGAAAGCCAGGGGAGCGAACGGG
rnacentral:rRNA from 1 species